UGGUGGUGACAAGGGAGGUGCCGCGGCAGAUUUCCAGCCAUCCUUCAUGGGUUCUUCUGGUGGAAGACCCUCUUUCGGUCGUGGUGGCAGAGGCUAUAGUGCAGCUCCAUCUGGUUCAGGUUUUGCUUGAAGACAAUAUGUCUUUUGGGUUGCUUGUUUUAAAGCAUAGUAUUCAAAAUCUUAGAAUUCUGAUUUAAUGCCUUAGCUUUGUAUAAUAUUAUGCUUGUUAUGAGAUCACAAUGUGUAGUUUUGUCUCGGCCAACAAAGUACUAUUAUUACCCCUAAUAUAGAACUAAAUUUAUG